UGUGAACGUUACCAAACUGUUGCCUCGGCGGGAUCUCUGCCCCGGGUGCGUCGCAGCCCCGGACCAAGGCGCCCGCCGGAGGACCAACCAAAACUCUUAUUGUAUACCCCCUCGCGGGUUUUUUUAUAAUCUGAGCCUUCUCGGCGCCUCUCGUAGGCGUUUCGAAAAUGAAUCAAAACUUUCAACAACGGAUCUCUUGGUUCUGGCAUCGAUGAAGAACGCAGCGAAAUGCGAUAAGUAAUGUGAAUUGCAGAAUUCAGUGAAUCAUCGAAUCUUUGAACGCACAUUGCGCCCGCCAGUAUUCUGGCGGGCAUGCCUGUCCGAGCGUCAUUUCAACCCUCGAACCCCUCCGGGGGGUCGGCGUUGGGGAUCGGCCCUGCCUUGGCGGUGGCCGUCUCCGAAAUACAGUGGCGGUCUCGCCGCAGCCUCUCCUGCGCAGUAGUUUGCACACUCGCAUCGGGAGCGCGGCGCGUCCACAGCCGUUAAACACCCAACUUCUGAAAUGUUGACCUCGGAUCAGGUAGGAAUACCCGCUGAACUUAAGCAUAUCAAUAAGCGGAGGAAAAGAAACCAACAGGGAUUGCCCCAGUAACGGCGAGUGAAGCGGCAACAGCUCAAAUUUGAAAUCUGGUCCCUAGGGCCCGAGUUGUAAUUUGUAGAGGAUGCUUUUGGUGAGGUGCCGCCCGAGUUCCCUGGAACGGGACGCCACAGAGGGUGAGAGCCCCGUCUGGCUGGCCGCCGAGCCUCUGUAAAGCUCCUUCGACGAGUCGAGUAGUUUGGGAAUGCUGCUCAAAAUGGGAGGUAUAUGUCUUCUAAAGCUAAAUAUUGGCCAGAGACCGAUAGCGCACAAGUAGAGUGAUCGAAAGAUGAAAAGCACCUUGAAAAGAGGGUUAAAUAGUACGUGAAAUUGUUGAAAGGGAAGCGCUUGUGACCAGACUUGGGCGCGGCGGAUCAUCCGGGGUUCUCUCCGGUGCACUUCGCCGCGUCUAGGCCAGCAUCAGUUCGUCGCGGGGGAAAAAGGCUUCGGGAACGUGGCUCCUCCGGGAGUGUUAUAGCCCGUUGCAUAAUACCCUGCGGUGGACUGAGGACCGCGCAUCUGC
rnacentral:sRNA from 1 species